GCUUCCUGCGUAGACUGUGAGGCGAAGUCUAAGCUGACUCGCUUAUGCUGGCUGAGCAUGGAGGAUCUGAAAGAGGAUAUCAAGUUCAUCAUGGACAAGACCUUGGACUUCAGAGGGCUGUCCCCAUCUGACAGCCAUGAGGAAGAAGAUAUAACAGUAUUAGUGAGUCCAGAGAAACCACUUCGACGGGGCCUUGCCCAUCGGAGUAACCCAAAUGAAGUAGCUCCUGCCCUCCAGGGUGAUUGGUUCAGCUUGGGCCCACUCAGCCCAGAGAAACUGGAGGAAAUCCUCGAUGAAGCCAACCGCCUGGCAGCUCAGCUGUGCCCUGAAAGAUCUGGAGAGGGCUGGUACAGACCCUGGAAGGCCCAGCCCCAGAGGGAAGCCCAGCCCUCGGCGGGAGACCUUCGUCCUGAAGGACAGCCCUGUGAGAUCUGCUGCCCACUGUGAGUUCUUGGAGUACCCCACCUCCAAGCAGCCUAACCGGGCUGCAGAGCAGUGAUAAAAAGGGGUCAGCCAGGCCUGUCCGGGUGGCAUCUGGAAAGAAGCCCUCUAGCAUAAAGAAGGAAUCACCCACGUGCAAUCUGUUCCCUGCAUCCCAAAGCCCAGGGCGCUCUCCUCUUGCACAACCAACUCUUCUGCCCGGACAACAGCAAGCCCACCAAUUCCUGUCAGACCAGUUCCACAGUCCUCAGCUAGCAACUCCCAAGGUUCAUCCUGGCUCCAGGGAGCAACUGCCAAGUCUUCCAGUCGACUCCCCGUCCCCUCAGCCAUCCCCAAGCCUGCCACCCGAGUGCCACUCACUGGGCGGAAUAUACCACCUGGAAAAGGUGCCCUAGCUCCAGAUUCUCUCUCAACUCAGAAAGGGCAUCCAAGUGCCGUAGGGCACAGAGCCUCUGUUUCCCAGAAAGCAAAUCUUCCAACCACCAGUGCCGCUCGAGGCAGGAUGCAGCCCCUCAGGAAAGCUGCAGUCCCUGGACUAACUAGGUAA